ACUAAGGGGUCACAGAGUACCCACGGAACACAGAGCGCCCGAGGUCCUCACUGAGGCCGGUUUACGCGAACACUCUCGAGAAGGAGACGAUGAUGAUGAUGAUGAAGAUGAUGAUGUGAAGUUGAGAGUUGUUGCCUUGGCGCUUGGGGGUCCCUCCAGACCCCAAGGUUUGCCAUCGUAACUUACCCGAUCGAUGGAGGGUUACAGCCGAUUAGGUGCCUUUGUCCGACGCUGUGACGAGACCCGCUAUAGCCGGGGGUCCACCUGACCCCCAUCUGCCCCCACCCCGAGCCGGGGCCCUGUUUCGCGACGAGACCUGGGUCUGCGCUGCCGGGGUCUGCGUGACCCCCCCUCCCUUUUGUUUUUUUUUUUUGGUCCAGGCCGCACAAGGGUUAACGAAUCACUGCACCAACUGUCGUCAUUCCGCUUUGCUCUCUGCUGUGGAACUUGACUGACAUCUGUGCUUUGCCUGUGUGCAGAAGAAGAACAAGGACCAGAUCUCCAGUCUUCUCUCUCACAUCCCAACCCCCCAUCCCCUCUAUCCUCUGUACUGCUCCACCUGUUGUCUCUGCCUUCCUUCCAUCUGUAUUUCACCCUGUGGUUUGUGAGAAAUUUUGCCAAACCAAGAAUCUUAUUGCGGUUUGAUUUCAAAGCCGCGUCUCUAAUUUUAGAGUUCGAAGGAACUCUAAUUCACGGUUUAAUUGGGAUUUCCCAGCCGUGUCUUUCCUGCUCUGUCUGUUCUCUCUGCUAAAUUUUCUCUCUACCUGUUUUUCACUCCUGGCUUGCUGCUGAAUAAUGGCAAGCCAAUAAAGCAAUAAAGAGUGCAUAUUUUGCCUCAACCUAUGAACAAACUGAACAAACAAAGAAAA